UGGAUUAGCGCGUUUGACUUCGGAUCAAAAGGUCGUGGGUUCGACUCCCACUGUGGUCGCUGUUUUCUGUAUUUUUAUUUUUUCUCCGCUUUCCCACGGUAUAUGGGCUUCCUCGUUCGGUCUUGGUAACGAAAAAGGGUACAAACAAAAAAAAGAGGAACAAAAAGUCAUAGGUGCGAAGCGGAAGGGCGCGAGAUUAGUACAGUGGGUUUUUAAAAAAAAAAGGAGGGAAGAGAUAGCGGUUAACUUAGGCUGUCUUUGUUCCCUGGAAUUGAGAUUCAGAUGUCUACAAAUAUUUUUGUUUAAUUUUUUCGAUUUUAAAUCUAUUUCUCAUUCUUAAUUUUUAUAUUUAUCUUUGACACAAUAUAAUACGCUCAGUCUUAAAAGCUCUCUUGCUGGCUUUUCUGUGUGUGUCUAGCACCUUCCCAUUCACAAACCCUAAUCUCUCGCAUUUCUUCAUUCUCUUUUUCUCGCUUUACCUUCCACGGUGCUACGGAAAAAGAAAUCUCUUCCAAUUCCAGGUCAAUCCCCCUGGGAUUUUGUAUCCUAAAUGAAGACCUUUCUACCUCGUUUAUGACAUGUUCUUUAUUCAUUUGAGGUUAAAGGAAUGGUUAAAUUUGCAAAGGCAUGAUGAUAAAAAAUCUCCAAUUGCUUGGUCAGCAAUUCUCCCUUGUCUUCAAAAGUUGGUUGCCACUAUUAACUUUUGCUGGUUUAUGAAAAUUUUGCUGAACCUAGUCUUAGCUUAGGCCCGUUUUUCCCUGGCGAGUUGGCUUCAGAUGCAGAUUUGGUUGUUAAUUGGAAAUGAAAGAGAUUGGUUGAGUCUUGGGAUAUGCACCUUCUUUCUGGUGGUUCAAUAGAAUUUGCAGUUUCACCUAAUGUUCAGUGUCAUAAAUUUGGAUAUACACAAAUGAUUUGCAUUGCCUAAGUGCUUAACACACACAAUCAUUCAAAUGAAGGUAAAGAUCUAACUUUGUUUAGUGAAUGCACAGAUACACAAAUGAUUUGCAUUGCCUAAGUGCUUAACACACACAAUCAUUCAAAUGAAGGGAUAGUAGCAGACAGUGGAUCCAAGGCAACUAAUGCCUUAGACAUGUCUCCUUGAUUGUAUUCUUGAAUGCAAUUCUGUACAUUAUUUGCAAACUCUCUUUGACUUAGCUUGAUGGACCCACUUCUUUGAUCAAGUUGAUCUCAGGGAGAGGUAGUAUCACGGGGUUCAUAUUGAUUGAAGGGUUUCUCUCAGAUGUAAUGGGAACAUGCCUACUUGUGAUGCGUUUUUCUUCUGGUCCAGGCAAGGCAAGCCGUGCACUGUGCUAAAAGGUUUAGUCAUCUUACAAAAAAUAAGUGGCUAAUGCAAUGAAUACUAAACGUUACUAUAAAGAAGAAUUCAUAUUUAGUGCUUUGUUGGUUUCUGCUUUCUAUUCUAUGGUUUGUUUGUUAUUACUUAUUAGCCUGGAUUUAUUUGAAUGAAAAAUUUUAUAGGCUUAAAGUUGCAAAGAUGUAGCUAUUUAUAGGUUUUGUGACUGACUUUGUCUCAAGUAUGAACUAAAUAUUUUGUGGAGUAUAUAAUGCGUGUGACAUUUUGAAUA